GGGGGCGACCUGGUUUCGACGUGGGUUGCGAAGCAGCGCAGGGCAUACCGAGGACCAGUCACCUCGUAAAUCCAUCUGGAAACGCAUUAACUGCGAACGACGAACGUUUCGCUCUCGCCGCCUAAUACCGGCGAGCUCUGCACCGGUUGGUUCAUGGGCCGGGUAACGCAAGUUACGGCAG
rfam:Betaproteobacteria bacterium RIFCSPLOWO2_12_FTLL_63_13 rifcsplowo2_12_scaffold_2751, whole genome shotgun sequence.